rfam:Ananas comosus cultivar MD2 ACMD2_Scaffold_1338, whole genome shotgun sequence.
GGUGGUGGCUAGACCCAAGAGGUUAAGAGAGUUAAGCGUGCUAGGACGGGAGUAGUCCUAGGAUGGGUGACCCCCUGGGAAGUCGGGGCGUCACAGUCA